UGGGGAAUAUUGCACAAUGGGCGCAAGCCUGAUGCAGCGACGCCGCGUGGGGGAUGACGGCCUUCGGGUUGUAAACCCCUUUCGGCAGGGAAGAAGCGAAAGUGACGGUACCUGCGGAAGAAGCGCCGGCUAACUACGUGCCAGCAGCCGCGGUAAUACGUAGGGCGCAAGCGUUGUCCGGAAUUAUUGGGCGUAAAGAGCUCGUAGGCGGUUUGCCGCGUCUGCCGUGAAAGCCCGGGGCUCAACCCCGGGUCUGCGGUGGGUACGGGCAGACUGGAGUGCAGUAGGGGAGACCGGAAUUCCUGGUGUAGCGGUGAAAUGCGCAGAUAUCAGGAGGAACACCGAUGGCGAAGGCAGGUCUCUGGGCUGUAACUGACGCUGAGGAGCGAAAGCAUGGGGAGCGAACAGG
rnacentral:rRNA from 1 species